rnacentral:rRNA from 1 species
UACGAAGGGGGCUAGCGUUGCUCGGAAUUACUGGGCGUAAAGGGUGCGUAGGCGGGUCUUUAAGUCAGGGGUGAAAUCCUGGAGCUCAACUCCAGAACUGCCUUUGAUACUGAGGAUCUUGAGUUCGGGAGAGGUGAGUGGAACUGCGAGUGUAGAGGUGAAAUUCGUAGAUAUUCGCAAGAACACCAGUGGCGAAGGCGGCUCACUGGCCCGAUACUGACGCUGAGGACG